UACGUAGGGGGCAAGCGUUGUCCGGAUUUAUUGGGCGUAAAGCGCUCGCAGGUGGUUCGUUGCGUCGUGCGUGAAAGGCCCCGGCUCAACUGGGGAGGGUCGUGCGAUACGGGCGGACUGGAGGCCAGUAGGGGGAUGCGGAAUUCCGGGUGUAGUGGUGGAAUGCGCAGAUAUCAGGAGGAACACCGAUGGCGAAGGCAGGUCUCUGGGCCACUACUGACGCUGAGAAGCGAAAGCAUGGGGAGCGAACAGG
rnacentral:rRNA from 1 species